CACGUAGGGCGCAAGCGUUGUCCGGAAUUAUUGGGCGUAAAGAGCUCGUAGGCGGUCUGUCGCGUCUGCUGUGAAAACUCAGGGCUUAACCCUGAGCUUGCAGUGGGUACGGGCAGACUAGAGUGCGGUAGGGGAGACUGGAAUUCCUGGUGUAGCGGUGAAAUGCGCAGAUAUCAGGAGGAACACCGGUGGCGAAGGCGGGUCUCUGGGCCGUAACUGACGCUGGAGGAGCGAAAGCAUGGGGAGCGAACAGG
rnacentral:rRNA from 1 species